rnacentral:rRNA from 1 species
GGGAUAAACGCUGGCGGCGUGCCUAACACAUGCAAGUCGAACGCGCUUUCGGGCUUCGGUGCGAGAGCGAGUGGCGGACGGGUGAGUAACACAUGGGUACCUACCUUGGAGUGAGGGAUACCGGCGAGAAAUCGCCGACAAGACCGCAUAGGCUCGAUGCAAGUCGAGCAAAGCUCUUUCGAGAGAGGGAGCGCCACACGAGGAGCCUGCGCCCGAUUAGCUAGCUGGUGGAGUAACGGUUCACCAGGGCGACGAUCGGUAGCUGGUCUGAGAGGACGAUCAGCCACACUGGGAUUGAGAACGGCCCAGACUCCUACGGGGGGCAGCAGUGAGGAAUUUCGUCAAUGGGGCAACCCUGAACGAGCAACGCCGCGUGCAGGAAGAAGGUUUUCGGAUCGUAAACUGCUUUUCUCGGGGAAGAGAACGGACGGUACCCGAGGAAUCGAGCCCGGCUAACUACGUGCCAGCAGCCGC